rnacentral:misc_RNA from 1 species
GAUGAAGAACGUAGUGAAAUGCGAUAAGUAAUGCGAAUUGCAGAAUUCCGUGAGUCAUCGAAUCUUUGAACGCACAUUGCGCCCUCUGGUAUUCCGGAGGGCAUGCCUGUCUGAGCGUCAUUGUCAACCCUCAAGCUCAGCUUGCUGUUGGGUCCCCGUCGUUGCUUUAACGGCGGACCCGAAAGGUAAUGGCAGAGUCCGUGAGACCCUAGACGCAGCGAGCUUCUAGCACGCGUCUGGACGUUUUUCGGGCUCGGUCUUAACUAGAUGAUAACUUCCGAUUGACCUCAGAUCAGGUAGGGAUACCCGCUGAACUUAAGCAUAUCAAUAAGCGGAGGA